AAAGGGUCGAAGAGUGCAGACGCGAGGUCGAGGUUAAGUUAAGUUAGGUUAACGCAGACACGCGAUCGACGGAAUUCCCGACUUCGACCGAUAACGGAAAGGGUCGAAUUUCGUGUUUUACGAUUCGGGAAGCAGAAGUGACGAGGAAUUCUAUCGGUGGACCAGGGCUACGGUCUUGAAACGACGGAAAUUCACAAGAAAUGGCGACCGCUCAGCCGGAGAGCAUGUUUGCGUGGAGGUCGCUUACGGUCGCGGCGGCGGCGGCGAUGAUUGACGGUUCUUGUCGAGGGAAAAUCCUUCGUCCGGCACCAGGAGCACACAUACGAGUUAGGUCUACGAGAACAUGAGUUCUGAGAAGCCAAAGGGAUGACGGACCACUCACAUGACCGACCGAAACGACGAAAAUUCGACGAGUUUCGUCGGUCAGUUACGAGGAGAGCAUGCUCGACCGACAGGCGAGCAGGUGAUACCGCAGCUCGACCAAAGCGACGGAAAUUCCCGAGAGCUGACGGUCCCAUGUCAGGAACGCACGACGUGCAAGCUGAUGGCACAGAUCUCCGGCGAAGCGACGAAAAUUCACGAGUCCCGACGGACGGAUACUGGGAGAGCACACAGUUUGAGGAGUGAUCGAUCGAUGAAAGGCGAUUGUAUUCAUCGCAGCGUACGUCGGGGAAUGAAAAGGCUUUGAAAUCCGUGUGUCGGUGAUGGGAGAGUAUGAGUUCGCGGCAAGUAUACAAAUGGCUCAGUAGGCAGCUGGCAUCGGCACGGUCGGCUGACGGUAACGCGCUUUGGUAUCAGGAACUUAUGAUGGCGGGAGAGGUUAAGUUCGCCGCUGCGUUCUUCACACGCGGGAAAUUUUAACGGAGAUAAGGAGCCGGGGUAUGAACAAAGAUACGUUUCUUCUUGAAAAUAAAACCUCUUCGCUCGGCGAUUUAUUAUGUACGCAACACAAUAUAAAGUUUACGCGAAACAUUUAUAAAUGAUACGCACAUAUUGCUAAUCAAAGUACGUACAACGAGGUGUUAUAUAUAAUUAAUAUUUACAAA